rnacentral:rRNA from 1 species
UACGGAGGGUGCAAGCGUUGCUCGGAAUUAUUGGGUGUAAAGGGUAGGUAGGUGGUCUCAUUUGUCUGGGGUGAAAUCCUUGGGCUUAACUCAAGAAGUGCCCCAGAAACGGUGAGACUAGAGUACUGGAGAGGCGAGUGGAAUUCCCGGUGUAGCGGUGAAAUGCGUAGAGAUCGGGAGGAACACCAGAGGCGAAGGCGGCUCGCUGGACAGUCACUGACACUCAACUACGAAAGCGUGGGGAGCAAACAGG